AGCCUCCACCCCGAUCACAUCCUCUCUCCGUCACCCAUUGUCUCCCGGUCUCCUCCGUCGGUCGUCACCUCUCUGUCGGCUGUUGCUGGUUGGCUAGGGUUCGGCCGCGGGGCCGCCGCCAUCCUCAGCCCGCCAGUUCCUUUGCGUCCCCAACUCCUCCCCCGCUCCCAUGACGUCUGCCUCGCACCGCGGCGGCCAAGGGUUCGGCAGCGGCGGCGCCAACGUUGUAAAUGGCGUCGCGGCGGCGAGGGGGCUUCCCUCCCUAAACCCUCACGUGUCCUGACCACUCACGCGCCGCAAGAUCAGUCCCCUCCUCUGCGACAGCAGCAAGGGCUGUUGUUGGCCAGCGACCUGUACCGCAUCCACCGCAGGUGCACAAAACCCUAAAGCUCCCGCGCCUCUCCCCCUUCCCACCGGCCUUGCCCCUCUCUCCCCCGGCGUGACUGCGUCCUCACUACCUCUAGGGCUGCAGCACCGGCCACUCUGGAAGGCAGAGAAACAGGAAGAAGACAGAGGGGAGGAAGUGGCCAUGGAGGAGCAACAGGAAGUAGGAGCACCGGGAUGAUAAGAAGGUGAUGAUUCUACCCAGUGAUUUGGUAGAAACUGUUCACCUCCUGCUGAAUCGAGAGUAGGUAGCGGAAGUCUGCUUGACGUGUCCAAAAAUAAUUUGUGUUUUUCAUAUGGAACGACAUUGCUUUCAGUCUUCCAGAUUGCUAUUGUUUGGUUAAUAUGUUAAAGCAACUUCUUCCUCAUGACUGUUGUACCAAGGAAGAAGCUCCUGACCACUGGAGACUGAUAAAACUCUUCUUCCCGGCCUUGAGGAAGAUGUUAGAGUGGAACGAAUGAAGUUUAGUCCGGUUGACAAUGUCAAGCCUGGCAUGACAUAUCCUUCUCGACGUUUGAAAUCUCCGUGGACUACUACAAGCCGUCUUGUGGUGCUGUGGUAAAGCUUAGUGCAAACAUCAUACAGUAUUAUAUUUUCUCCUUUUCUUUAAAGAUAUGAGUGAUGAUUUUUGUAAUCUACUCAAUAAUUUGAAGGAAUACAGAACUUGGAGUUGAACUGUAAUCCGAGCCAGUCGAUUUUCUAUAUACAUGUUUUCUCCCCACUUUUUAUGACAAUUUUCAAAUUAUUUA